GACGAACGCUGGCGGCGUGCUUAACACAUGCAAGUCGAACGGUAAGGCCCUUUCGGGGGGGCACGCGUGGCGAACGGACGGGUAACUCGUGGGUGAUCUGCCUUGCCCUUUGGGUUGAGCAAGUGCAACUGGGUGUAGUACCGGAUGGAAAUACGCGCUGCCUGUCGUGUGGUGGUAGGCUUUGGCGGUGGGGGAUGGCCGCGCGCCCUAUCAGCUUGUUGGUGGGGUGGUGGCUUACCAAGGCGGGGACGGGUAGCCGGCCUGAGAGGGUGGCCGGCCACACUGGGACUGAGAUACGGCCCAGACUCCUACGGGAGGCAGCAGUGGGGAAUAUUGCACAAUGGGCGGAAGCCUGAUGCAGCAACGCCGCGUGGGGGAUGACGGCCUUCGGGUUGUAAACCCCUUUCAGCACAGACGAAGCGUAAGUGACGGUAUGUGCAGAAGAAGCACCGGCUAACUACGUG
rnacentral:rRNA from 1 species